GCCCGAUUGGCUCAGUGGUAGAGCAUUCAGCUUGUCCCUCAGGGUACCUGAGGACCGCAAGUUCGAUUCUUGCAUCGGGCU